AAUAUUAAUAAUACGCAAUGAAAGCACUUGUGCUGAUUAUAGACACUUAAUAGCGCGUUUUUAAGUUUCACAAGAUUGCGACCCCCCCGCCUUUUGCCUCACAAUGGUUUGAUCCACUGCCAGUUCUUUAGCUUGCAAGGUAAUAGAGGGUUCGUAUCUACUGUCCGAAAGGCACUCAAUGUACGUAACUGACGUGAGGCAGAGCAGGCAACAGAUGGCACACAGACAGCAGAGCUGGGGACAGAUAUGCAGGGACAGACUAGCAGAGACAGGGAGUCUCAGGAGACAGACUGUGAGUCAGUGAGGGUGGUGAAAGGGAAAGAGCCAAGGAGAGAGACUUCAGAGGACAGUGUCACAGCCACGGCAGGACCAGGUGUCACCCUUGUUGCCAGCAGCACCAGUAUAGGGGACAGUGGCACAGCAUCGUCCAGUUACCUCAGUGAUGGCACAAAACCAUAUCAGCCACACCCACAAUUUAUAGAACCGCAAACUCUUGCCAACAGAGUGUUGACGGUUCAAGAGAGAUGGUUUUGCGAUUUCCCCUGGCUACAUUAUAAUCCAUCAAUAAAAGGAGUGUUGUGUUUUCACUGUAGCCAAGGGUUUUCAAGCCAGCCAUCUUUUGGCCAAAGAGCAGAUGCUGCCUUCAUUAGUGCAGGAUUUAGGAACUGGAGAAAAGCCAUUGAAAAAUUCACAGCACAUCAAAACUGCCAA